AUUGAACGCUGGCGGUAUGCUUUACACAUGCAAGUCGAACGGUAGAGGGGCAACCCUUGAGAGUGGCGAACGGGUGAGUAAUACAUCGGAACGUGCCCAGUCGUGGGGGAUAACGUAGCGAAAGCUACGCUAAUACCGCAUACGACCUGAGGGUGAAAGCGGGGGACUCGCCAGGGCCUCGGGCCAUUGGAGCGGACGAUGGCAGAUUAGGUAGUUGGUGAGGUAAAGGCUCCCCAAGCCGACGAUCUGUAGCUGGUCUGAGAGGACGACCAGCCACACUGGGACUGAGACACGGCCCAGACUCCUACGGGAGGCAGCAGUGGGGAAUUUUGGACAAUGGGCGCAAGCCUGAUCCAGCCAUACCGCGUGCAGGAAGAAGGCCUUCGGGUUGUAAACUGCUUUUGUCAGGGAAGAAAUCUUCUGGGCUAAUACCCUGGGAGGAUGACGGUACCUGAAGAAUAAGCACCGGCUAACUACGUGCCAGCAGCCGCCGUAAUAC
rnacentral:rRNA from 1 species